CCCGUGCUACAACCGCACAUACCAGGUUUUUAAGUGUUCAAUGAACCACCUGAAAUGGCGAGUCUUAGUAAUCAA
rfam:Bacillaceae bacterium MTCC 8252 Contig3, whole genome shotgun sequence.